UGGAUUUCUUCUAUGAAGGCCUUAUGUGAGGGGGGCAUGUAGUCCCUCAUUCUGCACAGAAAGUCAGCUGAAACAAACCAACCACAGGAAUGCCUCAGAUGCGUACAGACCACAGCACAGCCUCUCCAGAACUGUGGUUUCUGCCUUGUUGUUCGUAACCGCCAUGAACUGCGGCCCCGCCAUGCCACCCUGCCUUGGAGCCAACUGAAUAUGGACUGAACCCUCCAAAAACUGUAAGAAAUAAACCAUGCCUUUCCCAA